rnacentral:rRNA from 1 species
AAUAGAUACCCAGGUAGUCCACGCCGUAAACGAUGUCGACUUGGAGGUUGUUCCCUUGAGGAGUGGCUUCCGGAGCUAACGCGUUAAGUCGACCGCCUGGGGAGUACGGCCGCAAGGUUAAAACUCAAAUGAAUUGACGGGGGCCCGCACAAGCGGUGGAGCAUGUGGUUUAAUUCGAUGCAACGCGAAGAACCUUACCUGGUCUUGACAUCCACAGAAUUCUGCAGAGAUGCGGAAGUGCCUUCGGGAACUGUGAGACAGGUGCUGCAUGGCUGUCGUCAGCUCGUGUUGUGAAAUGUUGGGUUAAGUCCCGCAACGAGCGCAACCCUUAUCCUUUGUUGCCAGCGGUUAGGCCGGGAACUCAAAGGAGACUGCCAGUGAUAAACUGGAGGAAGGUGGGGAUGACGUCAAGUCAUCAUGGCCCUUACGACCAGGGCUACACACGUGCUACAAUGGCAUAUACAAAGAGAAGCGACCUCGCGAGAGCAAGCGGACCUCAUAAAGUAUGUCGUAGUCCGGAUCGGAGU